CGCAUCAGCGCGUCAACGAGCCUGGGCACGGCGACGGCACG
rnacentral:misc_RNA from 1 species